UUGGAGGUAGUGACAAUAAAUCACAAUGCGGGACUAUCAGUCUUGCAAUUGGAUUGAGAACAAUGUACAACUCUUAUCGAUAAGCCAUUGGAGGGCAAGUCUGGUGCCAGCAGCCGCGGUAAUUCCAGCUCCAAUAGCGUAUAUUAACGUUGUUGCAGUUAAAAAGCUCGUAGUUGAAGUGUGGGUGAUCGCUGUUGUGAGACUUCGGUCUCUCGACAGUAAGUCACCCCCUUCCAGUAUCCAGUAGUGGGUAUUCACUUACUUACUACUGUGUGUUGGUCGUUUACUGUGAGAAAAUUAGAGUGUUCAAAGCAGGCGUUUGCUUGAAUAGAUUAGCAUGGAAUAAUAAUUGAAGGCUUUCGUGUUCGAUUUGAUUGGUUUGUUCAUGGAAGCAAGGUUAAAAGGAACAGUUGGGGGUAUUCAUAUUCACUAGUUAGAGGUGAAAUUCUCGGAUUUAUGGAAGAUGAACAAGUGCGAAAGCAA
rnacentral:rRNA from 1 species